GUGCCAAGCGGGUAGUACAGUGGUCUGCACACAGUGAGUGCUCAAUAAGUACAGUUGAAUGAAUACAAUGUAAGAGUAUAACUCGUUCCCUGGCGACAAGGAACUCACAGUCUUGGGUACCGUGUUCUUUCUCUUGGGCCACGCUGCAUCUCAUGUUUGUCCUCCUGGCAACUUAAAACACGCUUCUAUCAAAUCUUCCAACCCACAAGCAUUUUCAUUUCCACAUAUAAUGUUAGUGUAACUUUACACACAGUAAGAGCUCAAUAAAUACAGUUGAAUGAAUGGUUUCCAGGCCCUUCAGUACCAUCCCGAAAUUAUUUGUUGAUAUUUCUCAGAGUGACACCCUGGAUUUACAUCAUCAAAACUGAUGCUUCCCCUCAAUGAGGGGGCCUUUAUUUUUUGAAAGGAUUAGAUUUCUUAUGAUGCGGAAUUCCUAUAUAAACCUAAUGGGAAAAUGGAUUUCCACCGUCUGUUCUCUUGCCUCAGCCGGGAGAAGACUUUCAUCUGGACAAUCCUGAGGAGAAUGCUUUUGAGUCUACAAGUGUGUGCGGUCCUACAUUGUGAGAUCCAUUUGCACUGCUUAUUUGCGAUAAGAGAUGCUGCAUUUUGGUGCAGAAGUCUACUGGGAGCUCUCGAUGAACCUAGCCUGGCUGUAGCUGGGGCGGACCCCAGGCUCUCGGCAACCGGGCCGUGCCGCUGUAUCUCAGGAGCUGAUGUCUGUGAAAGCAGGAUUUAUACCGCGUCCUCCCGGAACACGGAGACGGCAUUAAGGAACCCCGGGUUGAGACACACACGUGUUGGGAGUAUUCACCCCGAGUCCGACACCACGCAUGACCGCUAUUUCCCAGACCGCACCGUGCUGCAUCCGGAAAGACGUAUGGGGAUGGAAGACGCCCCUCAGGUUCUGCUGGAGCCUUCUAGACAAAACGUGCCAUGAAAACACGUAUUCUGGCCGUCUUCUGGGAGGGCGUUCCCAGAAAAACUGGAGGCACAGGGGCUGGAAGAGAAAGAAGGAAGAAGAAGAGGUGCUAUUUGAUGUGUUGACAGAAUGUUUAUUCAUCGGUGAAAUUCCUUAGUUAUGGCUUCUCUGAGACAAAUAGAGAACAAAAGGAAAGAAAA